GAGCCGCAGCACAGGUUCUAUUCAGCGGCGCUGGCUGGGGUUGAGAUGGAAGUUAGUUUCUAUGUAGCAGAAAUAGGAAACAAAUGAAGCAAAACUGCCCAAAGAGGAGAAAUGCCCAGAGGAUGGGUCUCACUCUCACGCGCGCUGACACACACACACACACACACACACACACACGCGCAGAGAGCACUCUCACGCUGGGCAAACUCAGGAUCGCGCUACUGCCCGAGUUGAAUGAUAGUGUUUGGUUUCUGUCUCUUGCCAUGUGCAUGUGUAUAAAUGCUGCGGAUUGGCAUCUGUUGUUUCCUCAAGCCCUUCUACCUCCUGGCUCCUCACAUUCCUUGUGAGAAAUGCAACCGCCUUGGGCUGCAAGGUGUGAGAGCUUAAACCAAAACACCCAGAAAUCAGCAGACAACCGAGGAAGAAGAAAAGAAGCCUGAACCGCUUUGGAAUAACAGACUAUAAAAAGAUUUCCUUCGUAAAUGCACGAUGAAAAUGGAAGGUUAUUAUGAUUUGCCCUAGUCCUGAUAAUUAUCAGAGUAACGCAUUUAUUGACAUGGAUUAUCCUUCAAAUAUUGAAAAUAUUUGCAUUUUUAAAGACAUGAAUUCCUUUCUAACUAUUAUCAGUAAAGUUACCUGCUGGUAGGGUUUGAAAAGAUAGGCAUUUUGUAUGCUUUAUGGCAACUGUAUUUAUUGCUGUGGCCUAUGCUCUCUGUUUUACCCAAACUUUUAAAAAAGUAUAAUGCUCAGAGUGUGGUAUUUUAUCAGGAUGCUCUUCAAAUAAGCAGAUUUGGGGAACCAAAGGGUGUAUUUGGAAUUUUCUAAUUUUGAAGUGCCUAUGCUAAUCUCAUUCUUUCUGAUAACAUGUUUUUCUUUAAGAGGGCAAAUAAACCAAAUUAUGAUAUAGCAUUUAAAAUUUGUCUGAGUAAAGUUUUCCAAAAGUAUAUUGUGGGUGUUACGUAAAUGUAAAAGCUAAUAUGAUUAGCUCAUGUAUGUAGGCUUUUCAUUUAGAAGUCAUUAAAUAAAGGUUUUUCUUAAGUGUG